rnacentral:rRNA from 1 species
AGCCGAACGCCUCUUCUCCCACCGGAGCUUGCUCCACCGGGAAAAGAGGAGUGGCGAACGGGUGAGUAACACGUGGGUAACCUGCCCAUCAGAAGGGGAUAACACUUGGAAACAGGUGCUAAUACCGUAUAACAAUCGAGACCGCAUGGUUUCGUUUUGAAAGGCGCUUUACGGUGCCGCUGAUGGAUGGACCUGCGGUGCAUUAGCUAGUUGGUGAGGUAACGGCUCACCAAGGCCACGAUGCAUAGCCGACCUGAGAGGGUGAUCGGCCACAUUGGGACUGAGACACGGCCCAAACUCCUACGGGAGGCAGCAGUAGGGAAUCUUCGGCAAUGGACGAAAGUCUGACCGAGCAACGCCGCGUGAGUGAAGAAGGUUUUCGGAUCGUAAAACUCUGUUGUUAGAGAAGAACAAGGGUGAGAGUAACUGUUCACCCCUUGACGGUAUCUAACCAGAAAGCCACGGCUAACUACGUGCCAGCAGCCGCGGUAAUACGUAGGUGGCAAGCGUUGUCCGGAUUUAUUGAGCGUAAAGCGAGCGCAGGCGGUUUCUUAAGUCUGAUGUGAAAGCCCCCGGCUCAACCGGGGAGGGUCAUUGGAAACUGGGAGACUUGAGUGCAGAAGAGGAGAGUGGAAUUCCAUGUGUACGGUGAAAUGCGUAGAUAUAUGGAGGAACACCUGUGGCGAAGCGGCUCUCUGGUCUGUAACUGACGCUGAGCUCGAAAGCGUGGGGAGCAAACAGGAUAGAUACCCUGUAGUCCACGCCGUAAACGAUGAGUGCUAAGUGUUG